UCGUAAGGACAUGUGGAGCGCUUAGAAGUGAGAAUGCCGGUGUGAGUAGCGAAAGACGGGUGAGAAUCCCGUCCACCGAUUGACUAAGGUUUCCAGAGGAAGGCUCGUCCGCUCUGGGUUAGUCGGGUCCUAAGCUGAGGCCGACAGGCGUAGGCGAUGGAUAACAGGUUGAUAUUCCUGUACCACCUAUAAUCGUUUUAAUCGAUGGGGGGACGCAGUAGGAUAGGCGAAGCGUGCGAUUGGAUUGCACGUCUAAGCAGUAAGGCUGAGUAUUAGGCAAAUCCGGUACUCAUUAAGGCUGAGCUGUGAUGGGGAGAAGACAUUGUGUCUUCGAGUCGUUGAUUUCACACUGCCGAGAAAAGCCUCUAGAUAGAAAAUAGGUGCCCGUACCGCAAACCGACACAGGUAGUCAAGAUGAGAAUUCUAAGGUGAGCGAGCGAACUCUCGUUAAGGAACUCGGCAAAAUGACCCCGUAACUUCGGGAGAAGGGGUGCUCUUUAGGGUUAACGCCCAGAAGAGCCGCAGUGAAUAGGCCCAAGCGACUGUUUAUCAAAAACACAGGUCUCUGCUAAACCGUAAGGUGAUGUAUAGGGGCUGACGCCUGCCCGGUGCUGGAAGGUUAAGAGGAGUGGUUAGCUUCUGCGAAGCUACGAAUCGAAGCCCCAGUAAACGGCGGCCGUAACUAUAACGGUCCUAAGGUAGCGAAAUUCCUUGUCGGGUAAGUUCCGACCCGCACGAAAGGCGUAACGAUUUGGGCACUGUCUCAACGAGAGACUCGGUGAAAUCAUAGUACCUGUGAAGAUGCAGGUUACCCGCGACAGGACGGAAAGACCCCGUGGAGCUUUACUGUAGCCUGAUAUUGAAAUUCGGCACAGCUUGUACAGGAUAGGUAGGAGCCUUUGAAACGUGAGCGCUAGCUUACGUGGAGGCGCUGGUGGGAUACUACCCUAGCUGUGUUGGCUUUCUAACCCGCACCACUUAUCGUGGUGGGAGACAGUGUCAGGCGGGCAGUUUGACUGGGGCGGUCGCCUCCUAAAAGGUAACGGAGGCGCUCAAAGGUUCCCUCAGAAUGGUUGGAAAUCAUUCAUAGAGUGUAAAGGCAUAAGGGAGCUUGACUGCGAGACCUACAAGUCGAGCAGGGUCGAAAGACGGACUUAGUGAUCCGGUGGUUCCGCAUGGAAGGGCCAUCGCUCAACGGAUAAAAGCUACCCCGGGGAUAACAGGCUUAUCUCCCCCAAGAGUUCACAUCGACGGGGAGGUUUGGCACCUCGAUGUCGGCUCAUCGCAUCCUGGGGCUGUAGUCGGUCCCAAGGGUUGGGCUGUUCGCCCAUUAAAGCGGUACGCGAGCUGGGUUCAGAACGUCGUGAGACAGUUCGGUCCCUAUCCGUCGUGGGCGUAGGAAAUUUGAGAGGAGCUGUCCUUAGUACGAGAGGACCGGGAUGGACAUACCUCUGGUGUACCAGUUGUCGUGCCAACGGCAUAGCUGGGUAGCUAUGUGUGGACGGGAUAAGUGCUGAAAGCAUCUAAGCAUGAAGCCCCCCUCAAGAUGAGAUUUCCCAACUUCGGUUAUAAGAUCCCUCAAAGAUGAUGAGGUUAAUAGGUUCGAGGUGGAAGCAUGGUGACAUGUGGAGCUGACGAAUACUAAUCGAUCGAAGACUUAAUCAA
rnacentral:rRNA from 1 species